rnacentral:rRNA from 1 species
AGACCCGAAACCCGGUGAUCUAGCCAUGGGCAGGUUGAAGGUUGGGUAACACUAACUGGAGGACCGAACCGACUAAUGUUGAAAAAUUAGCGGAUGACCUGUGGCUGGGGGUGAAAGGCCAAUCAAACCGGGAGAUAGCUGGUUCUCCCCGAAAGCUAUUUAGGUAGCGCCUCGUGAAUUCAUCUCCGGGGGUAGAGCACUGUUUCGGCUAGGGGGCCAUCCCGGCUUACCAACCCGAUGCAAACUGCGAAUACCGGAGAAUGUUAUCACGGGAGACACACGGCGGGUGCUAACGUCCGUCGUGAAGAGGGAAACAACCCAGACCGCCAGCUAAGGUCCCAAAGUCAUGGUUAAGUGGGAAACGAUGUGGGAAGGCCCAGACAGCCAGGAUGUUGGCUUAGAAGCAGCCAUCAUUUAAAGAAAGCGUAAUAGCUCACUGGUCGAGUCGGCCUGCGCGGAAGAUGUAACGGGGCUAAACCAUGCACCGAAGCUGCGGCAGCGACGCUUAUGCGUUGUUGGGUAGGGGAGCGUUCUGUAAGCCUGCGAAGGUGGCCUGUGAGGGUUGCUGGAGGUAUCAGAAGUGCGAAUGCUGACAUAAGUAACGAUAAAGCGGGUGAAAAGCCCGCUCGCCGGAAGACCAAGGGUUCCUGUCCAACGUUAAUCGGGGCAGGGUGAGUCGACCCCUAAGGCGAGGCCGAAAGGCGUAGUCGAUGGGAAACGGGUUAAUAUUCCCGUACUUGGUGUUACUGCGAAGGGGGGACGGAGAAGGCUAUGUUGGCCGGGCGACGGUUGUCCCGGUUUAAGCGUGUAGGUGUGUGUUCCAGGUAAAUCCGGUUCACUUUAACACUGAGGCGUGACGACGAGGCACUACGGUGCUGAAGCAACAAAUGCCCUGCUUCCAGGAAAAGCCUCUAAGCAUCAGGUAACAUCAAAUCGUACCCCAAACCGACACAGGUGGUCAGGUAGAGAAUACCAAGGCGCUUGAGAGAACUCGGGUGAAGGAACUAGGCAAAAUGGUGCCGUAACUUCGGGAGAAGGCACGCUGACACGUAGGUGAAGUGAUUUACUCAUGGAGCUGAAGUCAGUCGAAGAUACCAGCUGGCUGCAACUGUUUAUUAAAAACACAGCACUGUGCAAACACGAAAGUGGACGUAUACGGUGUGACGCCUGCCCGGUGCCGGAAGGUUAAUUGAUGGGGUCAGCGCAAGCGAAGCUCCUGAUCGAAGCCCCGGUAAACGGCGGCCGUAACUAUAACGGUCCUAAGGUAGCGAAAUUCCUUGUCGGGUAAGUUCCGACCUGCACGAAUGGCGUAAUGAUGGCCAGGCUGUCUCCACCCGAGACUCAGUGAAAUUGAACUCGCUGUGAAGAUGCAGUGUACCCGCGGCAAGACGGAAAGACCCCGUGAACCUUUACUAUAGCUUGACACUGAACAUUGAGCCUUGAUGUGUAGGAUAGGUGGGAGGCUUUGAAGUGUGGACGCCAGUCUGCAUGGAGCCGACCUUGAAAUACCACCCUUUAAUGUUUGAUGUUCUAACGUGGACCCGUUACCCGGGUUGCGGACAGUGUCUGGUGGGUAGUUUGACUGGGGCGGUCUCCUCCUAAAGAGUAACGGAGGAGCACGAAGGUUGGCUAAUCCUGGUCGGACAUCAGGAGGUUAGUGCAAUGGCAUAAGCCAGCUUGACUGCGAGCGUGACGGCGCGAGCAGGUGCGAAAGCAGGUCAUAGUGAUCCGGUGGUUCUGAAUGGAAGGGCCAUCGCUCAACGGAUAAAAGGUACUCCGGGGAUAACAGGCUGAUACCGCCCAAGAGUUCAUAUCGACGGCGGUGUUUGGCACCUCGAUGUCGGCUCAUCACAUCCUGGGGCUGAAGUAGGUCCCAAGGGUAUGGCUGUUCGCCAUUUAAAGUGGUACGCGAGCUGGGUUUAGAACGUCGUGAGACAGUUCGGUCCCUAUCUGCCGUGGGCGCUGGAGAACUGAGGGGGGCUGCUCCUAGUACGAGAGGACCGGAGUGGACGCAUCACUGGUGUUCGGGUUGUCAUGCCAAUGGCACUGCCCGGUAGCUAAAUGCGGAAGAGAUAAGUGCUGAAAGCAUCUAAGCACGAAACUUGCCCCGAGAUGAGUUCUCCCUGAGACUUAAAGUCU